AUUGAACGCUGGCGGCAGGCCUAACACAUGCAAGUCGAGCGGCAGCGCGGGGGCAACCCUGGCGGCGAGCGGCGAACGGGUGAGUAAUACAUGGGAAUCUGCCUAGUAGUGGGGGAUAACUCUGGGAAACUAGAGGUAAUACCGCAUACGCCCUACGGGGAAAGGGGGGGAGUCUUCGGACCUCUCGCUAUUAGAGGAGCCCAUGUCCGAUUAGCUAGUUGGUGAGGUAAAGGCUCACCAAGGCGACGAUCGGUAACUGGUCUGAGAGGAUGGUCAGUCACACUGGAACUGAGACACGGUCCAGACUCCUACGGGAGGCAGCAGUGGGGAAUAUUGGACAAUGGGGGCAACCCUGAUCCAGCCAUGCCGCGUGUGUGAAGAAGGCCU
rnacentral:rRNA from 1 species